GGUGGCUCAGUGGUAGAGCGCUUGCCUUUCCUGCAUGAGGCCCUGGGUUCGAUUCCUCAGCACCA
rnacentral:tRNA from 1 species